rnacentral:lncRNA from 10 species
GCUGCAAACAUUGGGAUCAGCCGUGACUAUCCCAUAACAUAAUAUUUCUGAUUUCAUUCUUUUCCUUUCUCCUACCAAUUUAAUCUGCAAUCACUUCAAGAGAAGUCUGUUUAAAGGAUAUUCACAUUCUGUUCACAGAGUUUGAGAGAAACUGUAUUCAAGUUGCUGAAACCAAGAAGCUACACUCACGAGUCUCACCUAAACUCGAAUCUGAUUUAGAUGACAUCAUCCUGGACUUUGAGUUGAUGAAACCUUGGAGGUCUUGGGAGUAAAGCAAGUGUGAUUUGCAUAUGAUGGAUAUGAAUUGUAAUGGCCAGAGCAUGGCUGUGAGAUGAAAACUCCCAUUUUAGGGAACCAAGACUGAAUUCCAUAAUUUACAUGGAUGUUUGGAAGGUGUCUGCAACUUAAUCUGUGUUCGUUUCUGAGAUGUUGGGCAACUCCUUCUUGGAAGAUGUGGUAAUGGUCUCUUCGAAAAGAAAAUAAUCAUCUGAGUUUUGGCCAAAAUAGUUGAUCGGAUUACCUAUGAAAAUGACUCUCACCCAACUACAAGAAU